CUCCCACCUGCCUCAGGAUCGAGGACAGCCUUCAGUGGCCCCAAAUCACACAGGCCAAACCAGACUGGAAGGAGAUGAGACCUGCCAGUGUGGACUGUGCCCAUGUUAACCCAGUGUUUGACAAUGUUAGUGGAACGUUGGAUGAGUAUCCUGCAAGUGUCCAUAGUCUUCGGGGACCUGGCUACGUUCACCUAUGCUCACCCCCAGUCUUUCUUCCUUUGUCCCUUCUGUCCUCUGCUUCACGUCUUUCACAUUUGCCACCCUUUAUGUUCAUACUCCAGUAUCCUAGAGCCCCAGGCCUUGCUUGCCCUGCUGGGACACACAGGUGACUGUGGCCUCCUCUGGACAUUUGAUUCUUCCUGAGCAAAGAUGGAUCCAAGCAUGUGAGUCUAGCUGCAUAGCCAGAGAAUGGCCUGUCCAGUGUACAGGAUGACCACCCAGGUCUACUUUCCAUACCGAGUGAGGUCAUAAAAGGCUGGAGUUCUCCAUGCAGGUCCUCUGAGAAGACACACUUGGAGAAGACUCUAAAUCAAGUACAGGUCAGCUCUGUGGUGUGUUCCACACAGGAACAGGCCAGAUAUAGGAACAACUGUCCAUAUAUAGCAGCCAGAAGGAAAAAUAGAGUGUGGCCAUGCUAGGGAGCAAGAACUACAUAGCUCCCUGGAAGUGACACCCAGGCCCUGCCUCUGCCUUGAAGAGAAGAUAAGAGACAGGGGGCUAGAAAGAUGGGGCUCCACUUGUUUCCCAGGCUGCUUCCUGCACAUCAGAGAAAGCCUGCACAUGGGCUCCCUAAAGGGUGAGCAUUCCCUACUCUGGAGCAAGGUAUGCCAGGAUUUUGCUCUGCUGGAGAAAGCCACAGUGGCACUGUAUGUGAAAGAAGAUCUUGGGGGUUUUCAAUGGUUCUACCUGUCCAGAGAUGUCAGAGCCUCGGCACCCUCUGCUGCUCCAGACCCCAACCCCAAACAGAACCAUGGAGUCCGAGGAGAACCCA